rnacentral:rRNA from 1 species
GGUUGCGAUCAUACCAGCACUAAUGCACCGGAUCACAUCAGAACUCCGCAGUUAAGCGUGCUUGGGCGAGAGUAGUACUAGGAUGGGUGACCCCCUGGGAAGUCCUCGUGUUGCCACCC